AGUUUUUCUUGGGCUUUUGACUAAGAUCAAGUGUAGUAUCUGUUUUUAUCAGUUUAAUAUCUGAUACGUUGGACAUUGGCUAACAUGAUAUUAAAUUAAUUUUUCCUUGGGGGAGGUCCCACCCCAAAAUAGCUGGCUAUUGGGGGCCUUAUGUGUCGCCCAUGCGUUGCACUAUUGCACCACUUGAUCAUUUGAA
rnacentral:snRNA from 1 species